GUAGUGACGGCGGUGACAGAGGCCAGAGAGAUGGUGUCCGGCUCCAGAGUUCCAGCAAGACGGAUCGCCUUCCUGUCCAGGUCGUCCAUGUCCAGGACUGCAGGCUCAUCUGGACAAAUGAAAUGAAGAUACAGGUGGACAGAUGAGGGGGUGAUGCCAGAGGGAGGUGAAGAAAGAUGGCUGGAGAUGCAAAGAGAGGAGAAAGAGGAGCAGGAUGACAGGAGUGGGCGGGGCACUACCACGAGAAACCCAGCAGCCUUCAGAGUUCAAAAACAGACUGGUCGGUAUGGAUCCCUGUAAGGUUCGACCGGGGGAUGACCCUGACCCGUGGCUGUGUCCAGAGAGCAGGCUGUCACUUUCAAAGGUCAACAAGGAGACAUCACUUCAGCUGAGCACAUGCCUGUGGGUGAGCUGCAGUGCAACAUUCAAGUUCCUGCUGUUGAGGACCAGAUGGUGCUGAGAUAAUGAACAACGGACUUGUCAAAAAGCAGACAUAAUGUAUAAUUCAAUACAUUUUCCAUGGAUUAGUGGAUUCGUCCACUUAAAAGUUUCCUGAGGUGUUUCCUGAGGCACCGCGUCACUCCUGAGAGACACUCGUGACAGCAGAGGCGUUACAAGCUGUUGCACAUGGGCAAGUACUCUAGUUUUUUCUUUUAUUAUUGCAUUUCCUACAGGAAUUACGUUUGUUACAGUCUAUUUUUGCUUAUC